rnacentral:tRNA from 1 species
GGCGGCCGGAUCGACCAGGCCACGGUGGCCCGCUACUACCGGGGCAAGGCCGAGGUGAGCGGCUUCGCGGUCGCCGACGCGGCGGUCGCCG